rnacentral:rRNA from 1 species
UGAGGAAUAUUGGUCAAUGGGCGAGAGCCUGAACCAGCCAAGUCGCGUGAAGGAUGACUGUCUUAUGGAUUGUAAACUUCUUUUAUACGGGAAUAACAAGAGUCACGUGUGGCUCCCUGCAUGUACCGUAUGAAUAAGCAUCGGCUAACUCCGUGCCAGCAGCCGCGGUAAUACGGAGGAUGCGAGCGUUAUCCGGAUUUAUUGGGUUUAAAGGGUGCGUAGGCGGCCUGUUAAGUCAGCGGUGAAAUCUAGGAGCUUAACUCCUAAAUUGCCAUUGAUACUGGCGGGCUUGAGUGUAGAUGAGGUAGGCGGAAUGCGUGGUGUAGCGGUGGAAUGCAUAGAUAUCACGCAGAACUCCGAUUGCGAAGGCAGCUUACUAAGGUACAACUGACGCUGAAGCACGAAAGCGUGGGUAUCAAACAGGAUUAGAUACCCUGGUAGUCCACGCAGUAAACGAUGAUAACUGGGCGUAUGCGAUAUACAGUAUGCUCCUAAGCGAAAGCGUUAAGUUAUCCACCUGGGGAGUACGCCGGCAACGGUG